AAAAUUUCUAUGUAAUUUGGUUAUGAUGGUCAGUUGUGACACAUUGAAAAUCAUAAUACUUGAAGGAAAAUAAGUCAUUUUUGAUGCAUUUAAUACACAAUUUCAAAUCAAUCAAUCAGUGAAUGUGUAUUUUAAAUUACUUGGGUUAAAUGAAACAACUUUGAGAUUGCCCAGUAGUGUUUUCUGUCAGACACUGAUCAUAUAUUCCCUUACAAAAACAUUCCCCCCCCCUUUUCAGAAAGUACCAAGUAAUGCUUAUUGAAGAGCAA
rnacentral:lncRNA from 1 species